rnacentral:rRNA from 1 species
AUGGACGCCGCCGCAGGGGGAGGAGAAGAAGUAUUUGUCACCUACGCCCAAAUCGGGGCGUACUUCAACAUUCUGGCACUGGAGGGGCCGUCCGCGCAGGAUCGCAUCGAUCGCAUCGUCCCCUACCUCAUCUCCCUCCUGCCCCCACCCUUCGUCCCCGCGCCCGACGCCGACGCCGACGAGUCCUCCGACUCCGACGACGACCACUUCUCCCUCACCUCCUCCGAUGACGACACCGCCGCCCCCGCCGACGGGCCCGCUGUCGAUCCGGCGGCACUUGACGAUGACGGCCAGGACCACAUCAGCCGCCUACCGGACGACCUGCUCUCCAACAUCGUCUCCUGCCUCCCCACCAACGAAGCCGCGCGCACCAUGGUCCUCUCGACCCGCUGGCGCGGCGUCUGGGCGGCGACCCCGCUCCUCGUCGACGACGCCCACAUCAGGGCCCGCGGUUUCAGCGCCGUGCGUGCCCUCUCGCGCUGCGUGGCCGCUCACCCCGGCCCCGUCCGUGCCGUGCGCGUCACACGCACCUCCUUCCACCGGCAGGAGUACGCGCUCGAGCGCCUGAUCGCCAGCCUCGCCGCCAAGGACGUCCAGGACCUCAUCCUCUUCAACCGCCCCUGGCCGCUCGACAUGCCGCUCCCCGACGACAUCCUCAGCUGUGGCUCUCUCACCCGCCUCUACAUCGGCUUCUGGCGCUUCCCAGACACUACUGCCCACCAGCCCGCAUUUCCCAACCUCCAUGAGCUCGGCCUUUUUCACUCCAUCAUCGAGGACAGGGAUGUCGAUGCCUUGCUCGCGCACUGCUCCAAGCUGAGAAUCCUCUCCUUUGCCAUGGCGUACAGCUGCCGUUCACGCCUCCGUAUCAGGUCCAGCAGCCUCUGCGUCAUGAUGGAAUGGAGAUGCGGUUUCAAUGAAAUCAUCGUCGAGGAUGCACCUUGCCUGGAGCGCCUGCUCUUCCAUAGCAUUUCCGAUCGGAGGCCCGUUAGGAUUGUCAAUGCGCCUAGGCUGGAGGUGCUCGGCUUCUUGGACCUCCAGGUCCACGCGCUCGAGAUUGGUGGCGUUGUCAUCAGGGCCGGUAUGAAUGUGAGAGCUAGGGCCAUGCUGCCAAGUUUGAAGAUGCUGGCUGUCAAGGUGCGGUUUUCGCACGACAUGGAGGUCAAGAUGCUGGACACUCUGCUCAGAUGCUUUCCUCGCCUCGAAACGCUUCAUGUCAUGUCCAUUCGACCCAGUUCACCUGAUAGUGUCGGUUUUGCUGAGUUCUGGAAGUCCCUGGGCUCUUGUGAUUGCCUUGAAUCUCAUCUGAAGACAUUCGUCUUCAAUAGAUACCAGGGUCUGGACUGUGAGUACUUGUUUCUUUGUUAUAUCCUGAAGAAGGCGAAGGUGCUUAAGACGCUGGGCAUCGAUUGUGCUGAGAGUGAUGAUGUGGUAGUGGAGGGAGGCCCUAUGUCAGGUUCUGCUGGUGAGGGCAAUGUGUCAUCAGGUGGAAGUAGUGGCAGUGAUGGUGUGGUAAUGGAGGGAGGUCCUGUGUCAGGAUCCGUUGGUGAGGGCAAUGCGCCAUCAGGUGGAAGCAGUGGCAGUAAUAUUAUUUAUGUUUACGUUGCCUCCCCUUGCUGGACCUUUCAGAACGCCAUUGACUUGUCAGUGGAGGAUCCCUUCUGUGUGUUGAGGCAUGACAAGUGCUGGAUCGCUUCUCGAGUUAUGGCAUUAGAGGUUUCUGUUUUUGAUCAUGGUACUGAUGCUGGUGCUAUUUCACAUCGACAUGUUUACUUUGAGCUGCUAAGGGUGUGGUACUAG